UCCGUAGGGUGCAAGCGUUGUCCGGAAUUAUUGGGCGUAAAGAGCUCGUAGGCGGUUUGUCGCGUCUGCUGUGAAAACCCGAGGCUCAACCUCGGGCCUGCAGUGGGUACGGGCAGACUAGAGUGCGGUAGGGGAGAUUGGAAUUCCUGGUGUAGCGGUGGAAUGCGCAGAUAUCAGGAGGAACACCAAUGGCGAAGGCAGAUCUCUGGGCCGUACCUGACACUGAUGCGCGACAGCAUGGGGAGCAAACAGG
rnacentral:rRNA from 1 species